rnacentral:misc_RNA from 1 species
ACAAAUGGGAGCAUAACAACUAAAUCAUUCAGGAAUCAUCGCACAUGUUCUUUCAUUUAGAUAUUUACAAACACUUGAUUAAAAAAUGGAAGGUUGUUAAAAAGGAGGAAAAGUUCUACCAAUAUUGCUGGCACUAGCGAAAAAACCUACCAGAUCUCGCCGGUAUGGUAAAUAUGAUUUGCGCCUAUUCUUAUCCAUUUCCUUUGCCGCUUGGUUCCGUAAAUAAACGUCCGUCAUCGAAGAUGUUUUGUUACCGCUGCUACUGUUGCCCUUUGCCUUCAAUUUUCCGGCAAUUUUAGACGCUUCCGCUGAGUCCUUUGCUUUGGAUGUUUCAUUUUUCAAUCCUUUUUCCGGCGUCAGAAAUAAAAAACUGUCCUUACCGUCACUGUUGCUCCGGCGCAUCAAAUCUCGGAUAUUCCACCGCUUAAACGCCGAUCCCGUUGAAUUACUCUUCUUACAUCUGCUUGGUGAAGGCUCGGUUAUAUUCGGCUUCCAUACACAAUACGUUCCCGGAGGUACACUCUCCAACUCAUCGACCUCGGAAGAUGACGACGACAGCGGUUCCCGUUCUUCUAAGAAUAAAUCCUUUAACGAAACUUGAACUGAACUAUUGACGUUUUCCGACGAUUCACCGUUAACACCUUCUCGAUCUACGCCAUAAGAAACAUCGUUUGGUAUCAGAUCGCGGUUGAAAACGGGGUAAAUAGGACGGUCGAAGGGGAAUACGCCGACCGAAUCCUCUGGAUUUUCACAAACCAAAGAGAAUUCAAAAUCUUCAUCUCCAUCGGCACCGUCAACGUUCUCUUCUACCACCUGAGAAUCACGCUUAAUUUCAUCGGAGAUUUUUCCGGCAAUCUCGGCCACUCUAUUUGAAGAGUAGCUACUAAAGCUCGGAGAAAAAAAUUCGUCUUCCUGCAUGUGAGUAGUUGUAAUUUCAUAAACGCUCUGGUGCACGUUUAGUGUCUCUGUAGGUUAUGAUCCUAUUAAUGGAGAGAGA